GAGCCUUGUAUGUGUUAUGAUGAACACAAGUCAUAUCAAGGCUCUUUCCAACAAGGAAAGGAGCAGACACCUUGAAAGAGAAAAGACGGGAUAACAAAGGUCGUGUCCUGCACACAGGAGAGAGCCAGAGAAAAGACGGAAAAUACUUAUACAAAUAUGUAGACGCAUUUGGAAAUACACAGUAUGUGUAUGCUUGGAGAUUGACACCCACAGACGUAACCCCAAAGGGGAAACGGGAAAAGCCCUCGCUUCGGGAAAUGGAACAGCAGAUACGACGUGAUAUGGAAGACGGUAUCGACAGCAAGGGAAAGAAAAUG
rnacentral:rRNA from 1 species